GGCUACCAUGCAGUCGAGGGGCAGCAUGAACUUAGCUUGCUAAGUUUGAUGGCGACCGGCGCACGGGUGAGUAACACGAUAUCCAACCUGCCGAUGACUCGGGGAUAGCCUUUCGAAAGAAAGAUUAAUACCCGAUGGCAUAGUUCUUCCGCAUGGCUAGAACUAUUAAAGAAUUUCGGUCAUCGAUGGGGAUGCGUUCCAUUAGGUUGUUGGCGGGGUAACGGCCCACCAAGCCUUCGAUGGAUAGGGGUUCUGAGAGGAAGGUCCCCCACAUUGGAACUGAGACACGGUCCAAACUCNUACGGGAGGCAGCAGUGAGGAAUAUUGGUCAAUGGACGAGAGUCUGAACCAGCCAAGUAGCGUGAAGGAUGACUGCCCUAUGGGUUGUAAACUUCUUUUAUACGGGAAUAAAGUGAGGCACGUGUGCCUUUUUGUAUGUACCGUAUGAAUAAGGAUCGGCUAACUCCGUGCCAGCAGCCGCGGUAAUACGGAGGAUCCGAGCGUUAUCCGGAUUUAUUGGGUUUAAAGGGAGCGUAGGCGGACGCUUAAGUCAGUUGUGAAAGUUUGCGGCUCAACCGUAAAAUUGCAGUUGAUACUGGGUGUCUUGAGUACAGUAGAGGCAGGCGGAAUUCGUGGUGUAGCGGUGAAAUGCUUAGAUAUCACGAAGAACUCCGAUUGCGAAGGCAGCCUGCUGGACUGUAACUGACGCUGAUGCUCGAAAGUGUGGGUAUCAAACAGGAUUAGAUACCCUGGUAGUCCACACAGUAAACGAUGAAUACUCGCUGUUUGCGAUAUACAGUAAGCGGCCAAGCGAAAGCGUUAAGUAUUCCACCUGGGGAGUACGCCGGCAACGGUGAAACUCAAAGGAAUUGACGGGGGCCCGCACAAGCGGAGGAACAUGUGGUUUAAUUCGAUGAUACGCGAGGAACCUUACCCGGGCUUGAAUUGCAACUGAAUGAUGUGGAGACAUGUCAGCCCCAAGGCAGUUGUGAAGGUGCUGCAUGGUUGUCGUCAGCUCGUGCCGUGAGGUGUCGGCUUAAGUGCCAUAACGAGCGCAACCCUUAUCGAUAGUUACCAUCAGGUNAUGCUGGGGACUCUGUCGAGACUGCCGUCGUAAGAUGUGAGGAAGGUGGGGAUGACGUCAAAUCAGCACGGCCCUUACGUCCGGGGCUACACACGUGUUACAAUGGGGGGUACAGAAGGCAGCUACACGGCGACGUGAUGCUAAUCCCGAAAGCCUCUCUCAGUUCGGAUUGGAGUCUGCAACCCGACUCCAUGAAGCUGGAUUCGCUAGUAAUCGCGCAUCAGCCACGGCGCGGUGAAUACGUUCCCGGGCCUUGUACACACCGCCCGUCAAGCCAUGAAAGCCGGGGGUACCUGAAGUGCGUAACCGCAAGAGCGCCCUAGGGAAACUUU
rnacentral:rRNA from 1 species